UACGAAGGGGGCUAGCGUUGCUCGGAAUCACUGGGCGUAAAGGGUGCGUAGGCGGGUCUUUAAGUCAGGGGUGAAAUCCUGGAGCUCAACUCCAGAACUGCCUUUGAUACUGAAGAUCUUGAGUUCGGGAGAGGUGAGUGGAACUGCGAGUGUAGAGGUGAAAUUCGUAGAUAUUCGCAAGAACACCAGUGGCGAAGGCGGCCAUCUGGAUCAACACUGACGCUGAGGCACGAAAGCGUGGGGAGCAAACAGGG
rnacentral:rRNA from 1 species